rnacentral:lncRNA from 1 species
UUUUCUGUCACCUCCUACAUCUGUAGUGCCAGCUUUCUGGCAAGGAGAAGACUUAGACAUCCAAAUCUCUUCAGGUCACAUUUUAUGGAAAAGUUACUUCGUUCUGAAUCUAACAGGAUACCUGUGUAGGAGGUGUUGGGAAGCUUGAAAAUGUUUCCAUAGAUACAAAACAGAGCCAUAGCAGCAGCUUUCAGCCAGGCCAUGGUAUCUCCAUUGGUGGUAAUUGACACAGCUCCACCGGUAUCAAUGGAACUGCAUGAGCUUAUGAACUUUCAUGGUGCUUCUAGAUAACAUUUUAAGAAUGUCAAAAGAAGACAGGAGAGGACUGGGAAUCUCUACAGGGUCAGUGGUGAAGAUACAGAGUAGUUUUCUCCCAGAACCAAGUGAUUGUGGAGAAUGUGUUUUCCAUGAUACCCUUACAAUGUGGAUAACUGGGGGGAUGUGCACGCAGUCCUCAGACACUUUCUAUACUAAUUUGCUAUUAUUCAGCUGUAAUGUUGAAAUGAAACUGAAGAGUACUGAGUGAUGUUCAACAGUGCUGUGAAGAGAGCUCCUUAACAUUUACUGUGUUAACAAAUACACAAUAUUUACUUUUUAUUAUAAUUACUAUAAAAAAAAGUUCUGUUAACUGUACUUGCUUAAAAAGCCAGCCAAUUUUAUGAAAUUAUGUUUACUUCUACUAAAGGAACUCUGCUUAAUACUGGUGUCCUUUGUAAGUCUAAUUUUGGUCUCAAGUGCUUGUUUAAACCCAGGAAUACUAAACUACUCUGAACAUACUUACAACUGGAUCAGAAAAUGGCUUCUUGAAGCUAUAACAACAGAAAUUUUUGAAGAAAUCCAACCUGGUCCCUUGGUUUUGAUCUAGUUAGGACUUGUUCUUUUUACCUAAGGAGGAAAAAAUAAUGGAAAGAAACUGACUGUGUCUGUAGCAGAAUAUAAAACAGGAUUUGAUCAGAAAUAGAAACAAUGUCAUCUGUCUAAGAGUGCCAGAACUGCUAUUAUGUUUUGCUUGCUGCCUAUAACUAGCUGUUUUCCUGGAGUAUUCAACCCCAAAUAUAAGUUGCAGUUCAAAGACUGUGCUCUCACAAAACAUUUCUAGAGUUCAUUAAGUUCUCUGUGAUAGCUUUGAAGUCCCUAAGUUUCAUUCUCUUACGUAAGUUAGCAUUCUCUAACAGAGGAGGGGGAGUCUAGUGAAUCACUGAAAUUUCAACAGAUCAAAAAAAAAUAAAAUCCUGACCAGCUCCA